rfam:Felis catus isolate Cinnamon breed Abyssinian chromosome D1, whole genome shotgun sequence.
GCCUGGGUGGCUCAGUUGGUUGAGAGUCCGACUUUGGCUCAGGUCAUGAUCUCAUGGUUCGUGGGUUCGAGCCCCGCAUCAGGCU